rnacentral:rRNA from 1 species
GGGUCAGUAGGUUGGUCGUGCCACCGGUACGUACUGGUCUCACUGAUUCCUCCUUCCUGAAGAACCGUAAUGCCAUUAAUUUGGUGUUGCGGGGAAACAGGACUGUUCCUUUGAAAAAAUUAGAGUGUUUAAAGCAAGCUAACGCUUGAAUACAUUAGCAUGGAAUAAUGAAAUAGGACGAUCGAUCCUAUUUUGUUGGUUUCUAGGAUUGACGUA